GUGAAUGCUGGCGGCGUGGAUAAGUCAUGCAAGUCAAGGGGGCCCGCAAGGGCAACCGGCAGACGAGGUAGUAACACGUAGGUACGUCCCCCGAAGUCGGGCAUAGCCAUCCGAAAGGAUGGGUAAUUCCCGAUAGUCCCGAAAGGGUAAAGGUUUUUCGCUUCGGGAGCGGCCUGCGUAGUAUCAGCUAGUUGGUAGGGUAACGGCCUACCAAGGCUACGACGCUUAGGGGAGCUGAGAGGCUGACCCCCACCGAUGGAACUGCGACACGGUCCAUACUCCUACGGGAGGCUGCAGACGAGAAUAUUCCGCAAUGGACGAAAGUCUGACGGAGCGACGCCGCGUGAUGGAUGAAGUGCCUUGGUACGUAAACAUCUUUUAUCGGGGACGAAGUUUAUUGACGGUACCCGAUGAAUAAGGAGCUCCUAACUCUGU
rnacentral:rRNA from 1 species